GCCUCCACAAAACUUCACAGUCUCGACUUAAUGAGCGGGAUCGUUGAGUAUCGCCCAUAAAUACAAGUCGGUGACAAACGUAACCACCCGAUCUCUGGUUGAGAUAACAUACGAUUUUCCCUUCAAUAAAAUCAUCAGCUGACGCUUUAGACUAGGUCUACCGAAAAUGGCAAGAGCAGGACAGUUACGACACAAGUCGGCGCAGGACACAGCCGAGUGGGUGAGCUUGUUUCAGAACGAACUGGAGACGGAACAGCAGUCGGUGGUGUUCGUCAAGCGGAUGAUGGUUCUGGCGGUGUCCUGCAUCACCUACCUCCGAGGCAUAUUCCCGGAGGACGCCUAUAGAUCGCGUUAUCUGGAAGAUUUGUGCAUUAAAGUUUUGAGAGAGAAGAGCUCCUCUCCUGGAGCCUGCAAGAUUGUCAAAUGGAUGAUGGGGUGUUUCGAUGCGUUACAGAAAGGAUAUCUACAGAUUGUGUUUAUCGGGGUACAUACUGAUCCCGGUGACCCAAAUCACAUCAUUGAAUCCUACCAGUUCAAGUUUAAAUACACAGAAGAGGGCCCGCAUAUGGAAAUUUUGAGGAACCGAAAUGAUGAAAUGAAGGUGACAAUGGAGGACACAAAGAAAGCAUCGGUGCUCCUGGUGCGCAAGCUCUUCCUGCUCAUGCAGAACCUGGAUGUCCUCCCCACUGACGUCUGUCUCUCCAUGAAGCUCUAUUACUAUGAUGAGGUGACUCCGCCCGACUACGAGCCCCCGGGCUUCAGGCAGGGCCGGUGCGACACCCUGUGGUUCGACGGGACGGCGGUGCACUUUAAGGUGGGGGACGUGCAGACCCCCUUCCACACCAUGAAGGUGCAGGUGGCCGCGGAGCACGGCCGGAUGGCCGGGCUGCAGCAGGGGAGCCACCUGUGGGACAGCGCCCAGAGCUCCGCCCAGCAGGGCCGGGGACCGGCACAGCUCGGCCACAAGGGGGCGGUAUGUAGCAGCUCUGCCCAGCAGGGCCAGGGACCGGCACAGCUCGGCCACAAGGGGGCGGUAUGUAGCAGCUCCGCCCAGCAGGGCCAGGGACCGGCACAGCUCGGCCACAAGGGGGCAGUAUGUAGCAGUUCCGCCCAGCAGGGCCAGGGACCGGCACAGCUCGGACACAAGGGGGCGGUAUGUCACAGUGCAGCACACUCAGGGCCUGGGCCUGGCACAGCUUGGCCACAAGGGGGCGGUAUGUCACAGUGCAGCACACUCAGAGCCUGGGCCUGGGCCAGCUUGGCCACAAGGGGGUGGUAUGUAGCAGCUCCGCCCAGCAGGGCUGGGGUCUGGCACAGCUCGGCCACAAGGGGGCGGUAUUUAGCAGCUCUACACUCUCAGGGACCGGCACAGCUCAGCCACAAGGGGGCGGUAUGUAGCAGCUCUACACUCUCAGGGCCUGGCACAGCUGAGCCACAAGGGGGUGGUAUGUGUGCUAACAUGCUAACUCGAUUUGACAUCCAGUCCUGCUGAGCACGUAAGAAGGCAUCUUCACAGCUUGUGUCUUCUUUUUCUGUUUGCUCUAACAGGCCUUUCAGACAAAUGCGGAACAAGACCUUCCAUCUGAGAGCGAGUCUGCAGACUUCAAGGCACCCAAAAAAACCAGAGCACAG